rnacentral:lncRNA from 1 species
AUUCUUCUCACUCAGCCCUGAUUCCUGCAGAGGGCAAGGGCACACCGAAGGAGGGUUUUUAGCAGCUUAAAAGAGUGGGAGAAAAAGCAACUGAAUCAAAAGCCCAAGUUCUUUCAAGAAGUCCCAGAAAGUGGUCUUUACUCCUUCCCAUCACUCCCCAACAUCACCUAAAUCCAGGAGAAACUGAGAUGCCCCAGAAGCUCACCUCUGCAAGUGCCAUCAUGAAUAAUGCCAACACCAAGAAUCUGAACGUCAUGUUUCAGACCUCCAACCAUCUAUGCUGUCACAGUCAUGACGAACAGAAGGCACUGAGACUCCCAGGACCAACUAUCAACCAUCAUCUUCGUUGCCUUUGUGACAGCUGCUCUGAGGUCCUUGUAAAUUUGCCCCUUUGACUUCAUUCUGAUUCUGUGUCCAGAGUUUAAUGGGGGGUGGGGGGGGGAACUUCUCUCAAGCCUCAAACCCUAUGUUCAUCAGUGAAAGGGAUUCCAGGGGCAAACUAUCCGAGAUAGCUUCCAAUCUUUUCCAUUCUUACUCUUAAUCCAAGAAGAGGUUUUAUCUGAGCAUGAUAGAAAUGAUUUGGGGCGCCUGGGUGGCUUAGUCGGUUAGGUGUCCGGCUUCAGCUCAGGUCAUGAUCUUGCAGUCCGUGAGUUCGAGCCCCGCGAUGGGCUUUGUGCUGACAGCUCAGAGCCUGGAGCCUGCUUCAGAUUCUCUGUCUCCCUCUCUCUCUGCCCCUCCCCUGCUCACGCUGUGUGUGUGUCUCUCUCUCAAAAAUAAAUAAACAUUAAAAAUAUAUAUAUAUAUUAAU